AAUUCCCAGUUCCUCGGCUUCCUCUUCUGACGAAACGACAGCUUCAGCAUUGCCAAAAGCGGCUCUAAGACCAUCAGCAGAAAGGACCGUACCAAGUAAUGAGAUGCGAUAUGAUGAAUUGGAAAUAGCGAGAACGUCAGUUUGUACGCCGAUUGGGAUAGCACAACCACCUUGUAAGCGCUUCAUCAAAGCACGUUCAGCCAAACAAGCAUAUAAAGUUUCUUGAUGCUGCAACGGCUUCAACAUCUCAAUCAUCUCUUUAUCAUCAGCACGAACUUCAACAGCCAAAGCACCCUGUCCAACGGCAUAAUACACAAAAGGAGCAGUAAGCAUUUGAGCAAUACGGUCUUUUAAACCCAAACGAAAUAGACCAGCGGCAGCAAGGACUAAACAAUCGAAUUGAGAGUCGGGAGCAUCAAGUUUAGCAAGUCUGGUUCCAACGUUUCCACGAAUGUCAACGAAACGAAGAUGAGGGAAAUUUCUAGCGAGAAGAGCACGACGUCUAAUGCUGCUGGUUCCAACAACACUACCAGGAGGGAGAUCGGCUACAGUUUUAUAGUGGGAGCCAGCCUUGAAGACGAUGGCAUCCAAAGGACAGCUACGUUUGGGUAUACAGGCUAUCACCAUACCAUCUGGCAUUUCAGAGGGCAAAUCUUUCAAAGAAUGUACGAGAAUACGACAUUGGUUAGUGACGAGCAAAGCUUCAAGUUCUCGCGUCCACAAAGAUUUUGCUAGUUGACGCUUAAAUUCAAACAAAGCCUUUGAGAGAAUUUCAUCGCCAAUAGUAUCUCUGCUAAUGAUUGGAAACUCAAGAUGGGGGUAGUGUUUUUCGAGCUCUUCACGAAUAAUUUCUGAUUGAAUUACAGCAAGUUUUGACUUGCGAGUUCCAAUGGGGAAUGAAGUACAGGAUGGCAUAUUACAAUUAAUUAGAGAAUGUACAAAACAAUGCUCAAACUAAUAAAUCUCUUUUUUUAACGAGGGAAAAGGGAGAUGCAAAUGUACAGAACUUUUAAAAACAAAAACUUUUGAAAGCAAACGAUGUUACCAAAAAACAAGGGUGCGUGAGCAGAAGGAGUGAGAAACCCGCCAAAUAUAAAUGUGUAAAGACUCGAUGAAAUAAAUCAAAAAGGAAGCAACUUGGUUGGACGAAGAAAUAGCCUUUGGCGCAACGCGGAUACCGAGAAACCAAAGUAUAAUAUUCUCAACAAACUUGAGAAUGCUGAAAAUUCAGUGUUUUGAAAGAAAAAAAAAAGUAAAAUAUACAACUAAAGGCUUUCUAAAACAUAAGAUUAAAAGGAAUUAGAAAGAGAGAAUUGAAAACCUUCAAGAAGAAAUUUUUAGGUUGCUAGAGAACGGGAUGCGUUUGUCAAGAAUUCGCUCAAUUAAAAAAAGGCGCCGGUUUUU